GACACUCAACAAUUAAGACUUCAGAUCCUCUUGACUAAACUCCACUAUGUGCAGUUUAGUCAAGAUUACCUGAAGACUUGAUGGUUGAGUAUC